UACGUAGUUAGCCGUGGCUUGCUGGUAAGGUACCGUCAGGUACCAGUCAUUCCCUACUGGUACGGUUCUUCCCUUACAACAGAGCUUUACAAUCCGAAGACCUUCUUCACUCACGCGGCGUCGCUCGGUCAGGGUUGCCCCCAUUGCCGAAAAUUCCCUACUGCUGCCUCCCGUAGGAGUCUGGGCCGUGUCUCAGUCCCAGUGUGGCCGGUCACCCUCUCAGGCCGGCUACGCAUCAUCGUCUUGGUGAGCCGUUACCUCACCAACUAACUAAUGCGCCAUAAAUCCAUCUCGAUGCGAUGUAUCCCAUCUUUCGUUUUCUGAAGAUGCCUUCAGGUAACUUAUCCGGUAUUAGCAGUCGUUUCCAACUGUUAUCCCAGACGUCGAGGCAGGUUAUUAUGUAUUACUCACCCGUUCGCCACUAAGAUCCAUUGCUAAGCAAGCUUAGCUAUUUCUCUUCGUUCGACUUGCAUGUAUUAGGCACGCCGCAGC
rnacentral:rRNA from 1 species